rnacentral:rRNA from 1 species
UACGUAGGGUGCGAGCGUUGUCCGGAAUUAUUGGGCGUAAAGGGCUCGUAGGCGGUUUGUCGCGUCGGGAGUGAAAACCUCGGGCUUAACUCGGGGCUUGCUUUCGAUACGGGCAGACUGGAGGUAUGCAGGGGAGAACGGAAUUCCUGGUGUAGCGGUGAAAUGCGCAGAUAUCAGGAGGAACACCGGUGGCGAAGGCGGUUCUCUGGGCAUGACCUGACGCUGAGGCGCGAAAGCUAGGGGAGCAAACGGG